UACGUAGGUGGCAAGCGUUGUCCGGAGUUACUGGGCGUAAAGGGUGCGCAGGCGGCCGCGCGCGUGGGUGGUGAAAUCUCCCGGCUCAACUGGGAGGGGGCCAUCCAGACGGCGUGGCUUGAGGCUCGGAGGGGGGCGUGGAAUUCCGGGUGGAGCGGUGAAAUGCGUAGAUAUCGGGAGGAACACCGGUGGCGAAGGCGGCGACCUGGGUAGAUACUGACGCUGAGGUGCGAAAGCGUGGGGAGCAAACAGG
rnacentral:rRNA from 1 species